CAGUCGCCGCGGGAACACGUAGGGGGCAAGCGUUAUCCGGAAUUACUGGGUGUAAAGGGAGCGUAGACGGUUAAACAAGUCUGAAGUGAAAUGCCGGGGCUCAACCCCGGAGCUGCUUUGGGAACUGUAGAACUGGAGUGUCGGAGGGGUAAGCGGAAUUCCCAGUGUAGCGGUGAAAUGCGUAGAUAUUGGGAGGAACACCGGCGGCGAAGGCGGCUUACUGGACGACAACUGACGUUGAGGCUCGAAGGCGUGGGUAGCAAACAGGAUUAGAUACCCCUGUAGUCCCUGUCUCUUAUAA
rnacentral:rRNA from 1 species